rnacentral:rRNA from 1 species
AUUGAACGCUGGCGGCAGGCCUAACACAUGCAAGUCGAGCGGUAGCACAGAGAGCUUGCUCUCGGGUGACGAGCGGCGCCGACGGGUGAGUAAUGUCUGGGAAACUGCCUGAUGGAGGGGGAUAACUACUGGAAACGGUAGCUAAUACCGCAUAACGUCGCAGACCAAAGGGGACCUUCGGGCCUCAUGCCAUCAGAUGUGCCCAGAUGGGAUUAGCUAGUAGGUGGGGUAACGGCUCACCUAGGCUUGACGAUAGCUGGUCUGAGAGGAUGACCAGCCACACUGGAACUGAGACACGGUCCAGACUCCUACGGGAGAAAAAGCAGCAGUGGGGAAUAUUGCACAAUGGGCGCAAGCCUGAUGCAGCCAUGCCGCGUGUGUGAAGAAGGCCUUCGGGUUGAGCACUUUCAGCGGGGAGGAAGGCGRURAGGUUAAUAACCUYRYCGAUUGACGUUACCCGCAGAAGAUUUAGCACCGGCUAACUCCGUGCCAGCAGCCGCGGUAAUACCCCCGGAGGUGCAAGCAUCGGGGGGAAUUACUGGGCGUAAAGCGCACGCAGGCGGUCUGUCAAGUCGGAUGUGAAAUCCCCGGGCUCAACCUGGGAACUGCAUUCGAAACUGGCAGGCUAGAGUCUUGUAGAGCCCCGUAGAAUUGUGUAGCGGUGAAAUGUAGAGAUCUGGAGGAAUACCGGUGGCGAAGGCGGCCCCCUGGACAAAGACUGACGCUCAGGUGCGAAAGCGUGGGGAGCAAACAGGAUUAGAUACCCUGGUAGUCCACGCUGUAAACUUUGAUGUCGAUUUGGAGGUUGUGCCCUGCGUGGCUUCCGGAGCUAACGCGUUAAAUCGACCGCGGAGUACGGCCGCAAGGUUAAAACUCAAAUGAAUUGAUUUCGGGGGCCCGCACAAGCGGUGGAGCAUGUGGUUUAAUUCGAUGCAACGCGAAGAACCUUACCUGGUCUUGACAUCCACAGAACUUUCCAGAGAUGGAUUGGUUUUGCCUUCGGGAACUGUGAGACAGGUGCUGC